rnacentral:rRNA from 1 species
GGGCCCGCACAAGCGGUGGAGCAUGUGGUUUAAUUCGACGCAACGCGAAGAACCUUACCUACACUUGACAUCCUCGGAACUUUCUAGAGAUAGAUUGGUGCCUUCGGGAACCGAGUGACAGGUGCUGCAUGGCUGUCGUCAGCUCGUGUCGUGAGAUGUUGGGUUAAGUCCCGUAACGAGCGCAACCCCUUAUCCUUAAAUUGCCCAGCGGUUAAGGGCCGGGGAACUGCUAAGGAGACUGCCGAUGACAAAAUCGGAGGAAGGUGGGGGACGACGUCAAGUCAUCAUGGCCCUUACGUGUAGGGCUACACACGUGCUACAAUGGCCGGUACAAACGGUUGCGAACCCCCGCGAGGGGAAGCUAA